GGUCUGCUGGGCGACGCGGAAUUUUUUACUUGGCUCGAGACCAACUGGCAGAGCGUGUUCGGCAACAACGGUCCGGCUCUGACGCAGGCCA
rnacentral:tRNA from 1 species